CCCGCACAGCGGCGGAGCAUGCGGAUUAAUUCGAUGCAACGCGAAGAACCUUACCGGCUUGACAUCACCGGAAACGGCCAGAGAUGGUCGCCCCCUUGUGGUCGGUGUACAGGUGGUGCAUGGUGAAACACUCGUGUCGUGAGAUGUUGGGUUAAGUCCCGCAACGAGCGCAACCCUCGUUCUAUGUUGCCAGCGGGUCAUGCCGGGGACUCAUAGGAGACUGCCGGGGUCAACUCGGAGGAAGGUGGGGAUGACGUCAAAUCAUCAUGCCCCUUAUGUCUUGGGCUUCACGCAUGCUACAAUGGCUCGUCCAAAGGGCUGGGGCAAAAGGUGGAG
rnacentral:rRNA from 1 species